CUGUGGAGUGUAAGGUUGACACCGUGUAUAAACUUUUUUCUAAAGAUCUCAUUCUAUACAAUAAAAAUUAAAUCUAUUUUUUAUAAAAUAAUUAUUAAUUUUAGAAUAGGUCAAAAAAUUUCAGAGAUGAAAAAUCCCCUAAGUGGCUCUAUCCACCGAGUACCACUUAUGCAUUUUCGUCUUUAUUUUUCCAAAUACUUGCCAAAUAUAGCGCCGUUGUAUGUUUUUUUCCCAUAAUUUAUUUAUGGAGAAUAUUUUAUAGAACCUAAUAUGUUAUAUUUUACAUUUACGAUUGGGGUCUCCUCAAAUUCAGCAAAGAAACGUUAUUUUAAAGCGAGCAGAGAAUGAAAUCUUCAGGCUAAGGUACAACACAACGAUGUUUGGUCGAAAAGCUUUGGUAAUUUCAUUUCAAUAUUUCGCAAAUUUACUUUUCCAUCAAUUAUUUGAUAAAUUUGCACCAAAUUCAGGCUGAUUUGUAGAAUUUCAGACGAAUGUUUGUUUGGAAAUAUUCAGUAAACUGAUUGGAGAUUGCAUCCUAUUUUGAUUUAAUAGAAUUUCAGCCAUUUUGACCUAAUUCCAGGCAUAUUUGGGUCAAAAUUUGAGUUCUUAAUUUUUUUAUUUUUAAUAUUUUUUUUGGGUUUUUGGAACUAAGUAUGAGGAGCCGAUAUUUUUACUGAAUUGCGGAGAAGACUGCUUGAGAAAAAUUCAUUUUUUAUUUGGAAAAUUGAGUGGAAUAAGGAAAGGAAAAACAUGAGAGUUGGUGUGGUGGUCAUUUUGAUGCCUCAUGUUUGGCAUUUGGGUAGACCUUAACCUUUAGACCUAAUAUUUAACAGAAUGAACUCGGAUUUUCUUUAAAUUAUUAUUUUAUUUGGACUUUUUUUUUUAAAUAACAUUGUGUAAUUGAGAAUCGCAAGUCCAAUUUCCAAAUUAUGUUUUGUGCUAAUCCAUGAGCUCUUAAUCCUUAAAAACUUUUCUACUAAAGGUACCCUCUGUCUGUGUAUGUGUGUGCCCCCAUAGUGAUAACCAAUGUUACGAGACCAAGUUUCUUGGACUUGUCUCCUUUGCAAACCGAGUUAGACCGAGAUACUCGGUGCAAACUCAGGGUAUAUCAGAAAAUAGAAAAAAAGUCUUUAAAAAUCUAUAAAACUAGGGUAUUGAUGUAUACAUUUUUUAUAUACGACUUGGAUGUUCUCAACUAUAAACCAAUUUUUUUAAAAAAUCUAUAUUUUAUAUACUUUCUAAAGAUAAUUUGAACUUUUUUUUUUUGGUAAGUUAAUUUGGACUUUGUUUUUGGUUUUAUUUGACCUACACCAUUUUUUUUAUUUUUAACAUAUUUCUUUUGUUUUGUUUUUUUUUUUGAAAUUUUCAAGGGCUUUUGGCCAUGUAGAAUACUCGGGCCAAGGCCCUGUACGUGGCCCGAGGAGAGCUAACUAUCUCCCUUUGGACACUCCACCUCCUAACAGGUGAUGCACUGAGUCUGCGCCACGCAGCACAUGGGCCAGCCCACCUAAUUUGGCUAGAAGAUUUUGGAAGGGUGGUUUCCUAAAAGAAAAUAAAUUACACCAAUUAGGGACUUAUAAAAAAGGCUAGGAUGUGGGGAGAUAGGUGCACAUUCCAAGAGAUAGACACCAUGUGAGGUUCCAUGGUCCUCUAGUGUUAUGGGUUUACUUUACACACACAGUGAUUUUUUGUUAAUAAAAUUGUGUGGUUAUGUUGUUGUUUUCUGUACAUAUCAUCUUCUUCACGUUUGGGUGCUUUCUGCUGCACUUAACUCUGGGAUAUCUGUGUGUAUCUAUAGGUUCCACCCUUGGAAACAUUGAACGCCUUAUUCUUGAACAAUUGUUGCAUGACUAAAUCCCACUCUCACCCAAAAAAAGAAAGCUUGGAAUGAACAUUUUUUUUGAUGAAUAUGCAAUCAUGUGUUAAUGUAUUUUUACAUAAACAUUUGAUAAAUGAACAUAUAUGUUCUUAGUGGAUGUAUAUGCAUACAUCUGUAACUUUGUAUAUAUGCAUCUAUUUUGACCAUGUGGUGGAUGUAUAUGUAUACGUUCUUGAGUUCUCCGUGCAUUAUGCUUAAUGAACAGUAUGAUAUCAUGUGCAUUCUUUGUACAUUUGGUUCUUGAUCUCACCAUAGGUAGGAUUUAAAUUCUU
rnacentral:lncRNA from 1 species